AUGCAGAGGUGGACGGAGCGGGUGAUGCGGAUCCGCGACGACGCCGACUCGUGGAUGCAGUGCGUGAAGGAGUGGAAGGAGGCGGAUCUCGCUGCGGGGAGAACUCCAGAUCCAUUUCAAAAACUCUGCAAAGUGAGGUACGCCCAGACCUGCCAAAUCCAAGCGGAUCGAGAGCUACUCAACCUCGCUCGGAGAAUCUACUUUGAGGGCACGAAAACGGAGAAGUCUCGGAUGCCAAGCCCGAGGGAGCAGCCGGAAGCGUUUGUGAUUUGGGCGAAAUCAGAGGCAAGGUGCAGCGAUGCCCGUCGUUGGGCGCGCUGGGAAGGGAUUCUGGGGCGCCUGCCUUCCAUCCCACCACCGGACUCGGAGGAGGUGGAUCCAUGGCCCUACCUAUCCCCAGUGCCGGAUCGGGAGUGCGACAACUACAGCUCCUGA
rnacentral:rRNA from 1 species